rnacentral:rRNA from 1 species
UACGAAGGGGGCUAGCGUUGCUCGGAAUUACUGGGCGUAAAGGGCGCGUAGGCGGCACGGCAAGUCAGGAGUGAAAGGCCUGGGCUCAACCGAGGAACUGCUUUUGAGACUGCCGAGCUAGAGUGCAGAAGGGGCAACUGGAAUUCCCAGUGUAGCGGUGAAAUGCGUAGAUAUUGGGAAGAACACCUGAGGCGAAGGCGGGUUGCUGGGCUGACACUGACGCUGAGGCGCGAAAGCCAGGGGAGCAAACGGG